rnacentral:rRNA from 1 species
CCUACGGGUGGCAGCAGUGGGGAAUAUUGCACAAUGGGCGAAACCCUGAUGCAGCGACGCCGCGUGAGUGAAGAAGUAAUUCGUUAUGUAAAGCUCUAUCAGCAGGGAAGAAAAUGACGGUACCUGAGUAAGACGCCCCGGCUAACUACGUGCCAGCAGCCGCGGUAAUACGUAGGGGGCAAGCGUUAUCCGGAUUUACUGGGUGGAAAGGGAGCGUAGACGGCAGUGCAAGGCUGGAGUGAAAUGCGGGGGCUCAACCCCCGGACUGCUCUGGAAACUGUACGGCUGGAGUGCAGGAGAGGUAAGUGGAAUUCAUAGUGUAGCGGUGAAAUGCGUAGAUAUUAGGAGGAACACCAGUGGCGAAGGCGGCUUACUGGACUGUAACUGACGUUGAGGCUCGAAAGCGUGGGGAGCAAACAGGAUUAGAUACCCCAGUAGUC